rnacentral:rRNA from 1 species
GGGAUAUUGCACAAUGGGGGGAACCCUGAUGCAGCGACGCCGCGUGGGUGAAGGAGCGUUUCGGCGCGUAAAGCCCUAUCGGCAGGGAAGAAGGAGGACGGUACCUGACUAAGAAGCCCCGGCUAACUACGUGCCAGCAGCCGCGGUAAUACGUAGGGGGCAAGCGUUAUCCGGAUUUACUGGGUGUAAAGGGAGCGUAGACGGCAAUACAAGUCGGAAGUGAAAUACCCGGGCUCAACCUGGGAACUGCUUUGGAAACUGUAUGGCUGGAGUGCUGGAGAGGUAAGCGGAAUUCCUAGUGUAGCGGUGAAAUGCGUAGAUAUUAGGAGGAACACCAGUGGCGAAGGCGGCUUACUGGACAGUAACUGACGUUGAGGCUCGAAAGCGUGGGGAGCAAACAG